rnacentral:rRNA from 1 species
UACAGAGGGUGCAAGCGUUGUUCGGAAUUAUUGGGCGUAAAGCGCACGUAGGCGGUUCGUUAAGUCGGAUGUGAAAGCCCUCGGCUCAACUGAGGAAGUGCACCCGAAACUGGCGAGCUUGAGUACGAAAGAGGAUCGCGGAAUUCCCGGUGUAGAGGUGAAAUUCGUAGAUAUCGGGAGGAACACCGGUGGCGAAGGCGGCGAUCUGGGUCGAUACUGACGCUGAGGUGCGAAAGCGUGGGGAGCAAACAGG